AGAACGAACGCUGGCGGCAGGCUUAACACAUGCAAGUCGAACGCACCGCAAGGUGAGUGGCAGACGGGUGAGUAACGCGUGGGAAUCUACCCAGUUCUACGGAACAACACAGGGAAACUUGUGCUAAUACCGUAUACGCCCGAUAGGGGAAAGAUUUAUCGGAAUUGGAUGAGCCCGCGUUGGAUUAGCUAGUUGGUGGGGUAAUGGCCUACCAAGGCGACGAUCCAUAGCUGGUCUGAGAGGAUGAUCAGCCACACUGGGACUGAGACACGGCCCAGACUCCUACGGGAGGCAGCAGUGGGGAAUAUUGGACAAUGGGCGCAAGCCUGAUCCAGCCAUGCCGCGUGAGUGAUGAAGGCCUUAGGGUGUAAAGCUCUUUCAGUAGGGACGAUAAUGACGGUACUAACAGAAGAAGCCCGACUAACUUCGUGCCAGCAGCCGC
rnacentral:rRNA from 1 species